CCUACGGGAGGCAGCAGUGAGGAAUAUUGGUCAAUGGUCGGGAGACUGAACCAGCCAAGCCGCGUGAGGGAUGAAGGUCCAGAGUAUCGUAAACCUCUUUUGUCAGGGAACAAAGGCGUGGACGUGUCCCAGGAUGAGUGUACCUGAAGAACAAGCAUCGUCUAACUCCGUGCCAGCAGCCGCGGUAAUACGGAGGAUGCGAGCGUUAUCCGGAUUUAUUGGGUUUAAAGGGUGCGCAGGUGGUCUGUUAAGUCAGCGGGCAAAGCUGGGGGCCCAACCCCGGCCCGCCGUUGAAACUGGCAGUCUCGAGUUGGAUAGAGGUAGGCGGAAUGCGCGGUGUAGCGGUGAAAUGCAUAGAUAUCGCGCAGAACUCCGAUUGCGAAGGCAGCAUGCCGGCUCCACACUGACGCUGAGGCACGAAAGCGUGGGUAUCGAACAGGAUUAGAUACCCUGGUAGUC
rnacentral:rRNA from 1 species